UGCCUGUUAAGAGGGGGAAAUUCCUCAAU
rnacentral:sRNA from 1 species